CCAAUAGCGUAUAUUAAAGUUGUUGCAAUUAAAAAGCUCGUAGUUGAAUUUCGGGGUUAGUAGGUUGGUCAUGCCUCCGGUAUGUACUGGCAUUAUUGAUUUCUCCCUUCUGAAGAACAUUGAUGUCAUUAAUUUGGUGUCUUGGGGAAUCAGGACCGUUACUUUGAAAAAAUUAGAGUGUUUAAAGCAGGCUCACGCUUGAAUACAUUAGCAUGGAAUAAUGAAAUAGGACGUUUGAUUCUAUUUUGUUGGUUUCUAGGAUCGACGUAAUGAUUAAUAGGGAUAGUUGGGGGCAUUAGUAUUCAAUUGUCAGAGGUGAAAUUCUUGGAUUUAUUGAAGACUAACUACUGCGAAAGCAUUUGCCAAGGAUGUUUUCAUUAAUCAAGAACGAAAGUUAGGGGAUCGAAGACGAUCAGAUACCGUCGUAGUCUUAACCAUAAACUAUGCCGACUAGGGAUCGGAUGAUGUUAAUUUUUUAAUGACUCAUUCGGCGCCUUACG
rnacentral:misc_RNA from 1 species